rnacentral:rRNA from 1 species
GAUCAUGGCUCAGGAUGGACGCUAGCUACAGGCUUAACACAUGCAAGUCGAGGGGCAGCAUGGUCUUAGCUUGCUAAGGCCGAUGGCGACCGGCGCACGGGUGAGUAACGCGUAUCCAACCUGCCUUACACUCUUGGACAGCCUUCUGAAAGGGCGAUUAAUACAAGAUGUUAUCAUGAGUAAGCAUUUUCACAUGAUUAAAGGUUUACCGGUGUAAGAUGGGGAUGCGUU